GACGAACGCUGGCGGCGUGCCUAAUACAUGCAAGUCGAGCGGACGGAUGGGAGCUUGCUCCCAGACCGUCAGCGGCGGACGGGUGAGUAACACGUGGGCAACCUGCCUGUAAGACUGGGAUAACUCCGGGAAACCGGGGCUAAUACCGGAUAACUCUUUCCCUCACAUGAGGGAAAGCUGAAAGAUGGCAUCUCGCUAUCACUUACAGAUGGGCCCGCGGCGCAUUAGCUAGUUGGUGAGGUAACGGCUCACCAAGGCGACGAUGCGUAGCCGACCUGAGAGGGUGAUGGCCCACACUGGGACUGAGACACGGCCCAGACUCCUACGGGAGGCAGCAGUAGGGAAUCUUCCGCAAUGGACGAAAGUCUGACGGAGCAACGCCGCGUGAGUGAUGAAGGUUUUCGGAUCGUAAAACUCUGUUGUCAGGGAAGAACAAGUACCGGAGUAACUGCCGGUACCUUGACGGUACCUGACCAGAAAGCCACGGCUAACUACGUG
rnacentral:rRNA from 1 species